rnacentral:rRNA from 1 species
GGACGAACGCUGGCGGCGUGCUUAACACAUGCAAGUCGAGCGGUAAGGCCCUUUCGGGGGUACGACGAGCGGCGAACGGGUGAGUAACACGUGGGUGACCUGCCCUCAGCUCUGGGAUAAGCCUGGGAAACCGGUCUAAUACCGGAUAUGACUCCAUGACGCAUGUUGUGGGGUGGAAAGCCUUGUGCGGCUGAAGAUGGCCCGCGGCCUAUCAGCUUGUUGGUGGGGUGAUGGCCUACCAAGGCGACGACGGGUAGCCGGCCUGAGAGGGCGACCGGCCACACUGGGACUGAGACACGGCCCAGACUCCUACGGGAGGCAGCAGUGGGGAAUCUUGCGCAAUGGGCGAAAGCC